rnacentral:sRNA from 1 species
CGCCGGCUCGGACGCGGCCGGCUACCGAGCCCUUUGUGAGGGCUGUGAGCUGCGCCUGACGGUGGCACCAUGAGCAGCUCAGGUGGGGCGCCCGGGGCGUCCGCCAGCUCUGCGCCGCCCGCGCAGGAAGAGGGCAUGACGUGGUGGUACCGCUGGCUGUGUCGCCUGUCUGGGGUGCUGGGGGCAGUCUCUUGCGCGAUCUCUGGCCUCUUCAACUGCAUCACCAUCCACCCUCUGAACAUCGCGGCCGGCGUGUGGAUGAUCAUGAAUGCCUUCAUCUUGUUGCUGUGUGAGGCGCCCUUCUGCUGCCAGUUCAUCGAGUUUGCAAACACAGUGGCGGAGAAGGUGGACCGGCUGCGCUCCUGGCAGAAGGCUGUCUUCUACUGCGGGUGAGGGGUUGCUGGGCAGGGUCCCGUGACACAGUUCCCCAAAACCCCACUGACAAAAUAGGACCCAAAAGUCAGGUGAGGGUGGGCAGUGUAUUCGGUUCCUCUCUGUGGAAGUGUAAACUGGGAUUGCCUUUGUGCACAGUGAUUUGCUCAUAGCUGCCAAAACGUGCCCCAGUGGUUCUGCGCCCAGGAACUCAGCUGUCGCUGUGCCGUAGUCACUGGAAGGUUCACAGGUAUAUGAGCAUGUGUGGCAGCAUUCCGUGCAGUGGAGAGAAAUGGGAAGCGUCUGGAAUUUUGGUCCGUCCACUGGGAGUUGUUAACCAGAUGAUAGUAGGUCUGUAGGACAUGUUUCUCUGCAGCCUUUCCAAAGAGUGGGUUCAUCUAGAUGUCCUGACGUGAAGGGGGA